rnacentral:rRNA from 2 species
CGGGUGAGACGCCGGUCUAAGUCCCUUGGAACGGGGCGUCAUAGAGGGUGAGAAUCCCGUAUGUGACCGGUGAUCAACCCCAUGUGAAACUCCUUCGACGAGUCGAGUUGUUUGGGAAUGCAGCUCAAAAUGGGUGGUAAAUUUCAUCUAAAGCUAAAUACCGGCCAGAGACCGAUAGCGCACAAGUAGAGUGAUCGAAAGAUGAAAAGCACUUUGGAAAGAGAGUCAAAAAGUACGUGAAAUUGUUGAAAGGGAAGCGCUUGCAACCAGACCUGCCCGCGGGCGAUCAGCCGUCCUUCUGGGCGGUGUAUUCGCCCGCGAUCAGGCCAGCAUCGGUUCGGGCGGCCGGAUAAAGGCCUUGGGAACGUAGCUUUCUUCGGGGAGUGUUAUAGCCCUUGGUGCAAUGCGGCCCGCCGGGACCGAGGACCGCGCUUCGGCUAGGAUGCUGGCGUAAUGGUUGUAAGCGGCCCGUCUUGAAACACGGACCAAGGAGUCUAACAUCUAUGCGAGUGUUUGGGUGUCAAACCCAUGCGCGUAAUGAAAGUGAACGGAGGUGGGAACCCUGAAGGGCGCACCAUCGACCGAUCCAGAUGUCUUCGGAUGGAUUUGAGUACGAGCAUAGCUGUUGGGACCCGAAAGAUGGUGAACUAUGCCUGAAUAGGGUGAAGCCAGAGGAAACUCUGGUGGAGGCUCGCAGCGGUUCUGACGUGCAAAUCGAUCGUCAAAUUUGGGUAUAGGGGCGAAAG